UACGGGGGGAGCAAGCGUUGUUCGGAUUUACUGGGCGUAAAGGGCGCGUAGGCGGUCGUGACAAGUCACUUGUGAAAUCUCCGGGCUUAACUCGGAGCGGUCAAGUGAUACUGUCGGACUAGAGUACAGAAGGGGCAACUGGAAUUCUCGGUGUAGCGGUGAAAUUCGUAGAUAUUCGGAAGAACACCAGUGGCGAAGGCGGCUCACUGGUCCGGUACUGACGCUGAGGUGCGAAAGCGUGGGGAGCAAACAGG
rnacentral:rRNA from 1 species